rnacentral:rRNA from 1 species
UACGUAGGGGGCAAGCGUUGUCCGGAAUUAUUGGGCGUAAAGAGCGCGUAGGCGGUCCGAUAAGUCGGCUGUGAGAGUCAGGGGCUCAACCCUUGAAAGCCGGCCGAUACUGUCGGACUAGAGUCCGGAAGAGGCAAGUGGAAUUCCCGGUGUAGCGGUGAAAUGCGCAGAUAUCGGGAGGAACACCAAUGGCGAAGGCAGCUUGCUGGGACGGUACUGACGCUGAGGCGCGAAAGCGUGGGGAGCAAACAGG